rnacentral:rRNA from 1 species
UGAAUACGAGACGCUAAGGCGUCGAAGUAGUGUAUGUCAUACUUCCAAGAAAAGCUUGCACUGUCAUAGAUAAAAAACGCCUGUACCAUAACCGACACAGGUGGGUAGGUAGAGUAUACUAAGGGGCGCGAGAUAACUCUCUCUAAGGAACUCGGCAAAAUAACUCCGUAACUUCGGGAGAAGGAGUGCCUUAUUUAUAAGGCUGCAAUAACAAGAUCCAAGCAACUGUUUAUCAAAAACACAGGUCUCCGCUAAGUCGUAAGACGAUGUAUGGGGGCUGACGCCUGCCCAGUGCCAGAAGGUUAAAGAAGUUGGUUAGCUUUUGCGAAGCUGAUAACUGAAGCCCUGGUGAACGGCGGCUGUAACUAUAACGGUCCUAAGGUAGCGAAAUUCCUUGUCGGGUAAGUUCCGACCCGCACGAAAGGCGUAAUGAUUUCGAUACUGUCUCGGAGAGGGGCUCGGUGAAAUAGACUUGUCUGUGAAGAUGCGGACUACCUGCACCAGGACAGAAAGACCCUAUGAAGCUUUACUGUAACUUGAAAUUGAAAUUGGACUUUAUUCGCGCAGCAUAGGUGGGAGGCGUUGAUUAUAAUCUCGUGGGAUUAUUGGAGCCAUCAGUGAGAUACCACUCUUGUAAUGUUAGAUUUCUAACUUUGAAUCAUUAUCUGGUCAAAGAACAGUUUCAGGCGGGCAGUUUGACUGGGGCGGUCGCCUCCUAAACGGUAACGGAGGCGUACAAAGGUUUCCUCUGAACGGUUAGAAAUCGUAUCUAGAGUGUAAAGGCAUAAGGAAGCUUGACUGUGAGACCUACAAGUCGAGCAGGGACGAAAGUCGGUCUUAGUGAUCUGACGGUACUGAGUGGAAAGGCCGUCACUCAACGGAUAAAAGUUACUCUAAGGAUAACAGGCUGAUCUCCCUCAAGAGUCCACAUCGACGGGGAGGUUUGGCACCUCGAUGUCGGCUCAUCGCAUCCUGGGGCGGUAGUACGUCCCAAGGGUUGGGCUGUUCGCCCAUGAAAGCGGUACGCGAGCUGGGUUCAGAACGUCGUGAGACAGUUCGGUCCAUAUCCGGUGUAGGCGUUAGAAUAUUGAGAGGAGCCUUCUUUAGUACGAGAGGACCGAGAAGGACAUACCUCUGGUGUACCAGUUAUCGUGCCAACGGUAAACGCUGGGUAGCUAUGUAUGGAGUGGAUAACCGCUGAAAGCAUCUAAGUGGGAAGCCCACCUC